rnacentral:lncRNA from 1 species
UCCACGGUGGCGCGAGCAUUAGCAUUACAAUGCCUACGCACAAGAACGCAUGUGUGAUCAAGUUGGCGGGUUUGUUCAAAUGUGACUUCACAGGAGCUAGAGUACAAGCCGCUGAUGAGUCAUUGCUUACAGGACGACCAGCUUCUUAGCAUUUCUUCACGAUGGCCACUGUUGUUAAGACUGUGAUCUCCUGUAUUAGCCUUUAGUUGGACCAAGAGAGAACACUAUUUCCUUGGCAUCAGAGGCUCCUUUGUUACUAACUGUGCAUCACUGGUUCAUGAAGGACUAGGACAUGGUAGUAGCCCCAUCGCUACCAACAAAAUGAAUACUCCCAACCAACACGGCUCUUUUCAACCAAUUAAGUUGUGCUUCUACUCAAGGCAGAUUGAAGAGAUUGCUUGGCUGAAAAAAAACAGGUUGGAUUGUUUAAAUAUAAUCCCAGAUCAACACUCAUUGUUUUGCAGGCUUGCAUCUGUGGAUGGUUGAAAACAAAUCUUAAGAACUGAAAAAAAGUAGAGGGAUGAAAUAUGUUAAAUUGCUGCUUACAGGCUUGAGGAAAAGGACUUUUUGGGAAGUAUACAUGUAUUUAAGGUGUUUUGAAAAAUAAAAUACACUAACUAGUCAAGCAACAAUUGAAAAGAAAUGGAAAAAUGACAACUAAGAAGAUAAUAAGAUUUAUAUGAGAAACUCCAGUGAUGUGGGCUUGUAUCGUAUUUGGCCCCGAUCUUUGUUGGUUUGACACUGCUUUCAAUGAUGUUUCAACUACUGUUGUAAAGUGCACCUAUAUAUUUUGAAAUUGUGGCCUCCACGUGU